rnacentral:rRNA from 1 species
AUUGAACGCUGGCGGCAGGCCUAACACAUGCAAGUCGAGCGAGCGGCGGACGGGGGAGUAAUGUAUGGGGACUGCCCGAUAGAGGGGGAGAACUACGGGAAACGGAAGCUAAUACCGCAUACUAUCGGAUAACCCAUAUGGGAUUAGCUAGUAGGUGAGGUAAUGGCUCACCUAGGCGACGAUCCCUAGCUGGUCUGGGAGGAUGAUCAGCCACACUGGGACUGAGAAACGGCCCAGACUCCUACGGAGGCAGCAGUGGGGAAUAUUGCACAAUGGGCGCAAGCCUGAUGCAGCCAUGCCGCGUGUAUGAAGAAGGCCCUAGGGUUGUAAAGUACUUUCAGUCGGGAGGCGUUACCGACAGAAGAAGCACCGGCUAACUCCGUGCCAGCAGCCGCGGUAAUUC